GUGUCAGCAGCCGCGGUAAUACGUAGGUGGCGAGCGUUGUCCGGAUUUACUGGGCGUAAAGAGCGCGCAGGCGGUCGGAUUAGUCGAGUGUGAAAGCCCCCGGCUCAACUGGGGAGGGUCACUCGAUACUGUUCGACUUGAAGACGGGAGAGGGACGCGGAAUUCCCGGUGUAGUGGUGAAAUGCGUAGAUAUCGGGAGGAACACCAGUGGCGAAGGCGGCGUUCUGGCCCGCUCUUGACGCUGAGGCGCGAAAGCCAGGGGAGCAAACGGGAUUAGAAACCCUAGUAGUCC
rnacentral:rRNA from 1 species